CCCUUAGAUGUCCUGGGCCGCACGCGCGUUACACUGAUGCAUUCAACGAGCUUAUAACCUUGGCCGAGAGGCCUGGGCAAUCUUGUUAACGUGCAUCGUGAUAGGGAUAGAUUAUUGAAAUUAUUAAUCUUGAACGAGGAAUUCCUAGUAAACGCAGAUCAUCAAUCUGCAUUGAUUACGUCCCUGCCCUUUGUACACACCGCCCGUCGCUACUACUGAUUGGACGUUUAAGCAAGAUUUUUAAACACUGACAGUUAAUGGCUUCGGCCAAGACACAGUGAGAAGAAGAAGAUCGAGCUUACUUGUCUAGAGGAAGUAAAAGUCGUAACA
rnacentral:rRNA from 1 species